rnacentral:rRNA from 1 species
UACGAAGGGGGCUAGCGUUGCUCGGAAUCACUGGGCGUAAAGGGUGCGUAGGCGGGUUUUUAAGUCAGGGGUGAAAUCCUGGAGCUCAACUCCAGAACUGCCUUUGAUACUGAGGAUCUUGAGUGCGGGAGGGGAUGGAGGAAUUCCUGGUGUAGCGGUGAAAUGCGUAGAUAUCAGGAGGAACACCUGUGGCGAAGGCGUCCAUCUGGCCCGUUACUGACGCUGAUGCGCGAAAGCUAGGGGAGCAAACGGG